GGAACCGUGCCCGAACGUUUAGGGGCCACUUUGAUAGGGUGGAAUAUAGGGGUUGGAGCCCCCUCAGUUCUU
rnacentral:tRNA from 1 species